GAUGAACGCUGGCGGCGUGCCUAACACAUGCAAGUCGAGCGAAGCGCUUAAAUUAGAUUUCUUCGGAAUGACGAUUUUUGUGACUGAGCGGCGGACGGGUGAGUAACGCGUGGGUAACCUGCCUCAUACAGGGGGAUAACAGUUAGAAAUGACUGCUAAUACCGCAUAAGACCCCAGCUUCGCAUGAAGCGGUGGUAAAAACUCCGGUGGUAUGAGAUGGACCCGCGUCUGAUUAGCUAGUUGGUAAGGUAACGGCUUACCAAGGCGACGAUCAGUAGCCGACCUGAGAGGGUGACCGGCCACAUUGGGACUGAGACACGGCCCAGACUCCUACGGGAGGCAGCAGUGGGGAAUAUUGCACAAUGGGGGAAACCCUGAUGCAGCGACGCCGCGUGAAGGAUGAAGUAUUUCGGUAUGUAAACUUCUAUCAGCAGGGAAGAAAGUGACGGUACCUGACUAAGAAGCCCCGGCUAACUACGUG
rnacentral:rRNA from 1 species